rnacentral:rRNA from 1 species
AACGAACGCUGGCGGCAUGCCUAACACAUGCAAGUCGAACGAGACCUUCGGGUCUAGUGGCGCACGGGUGCGUAACGCGUAGGAACCUGCCCUUAGGUUCGGAAUAACUCCCCGAAAGGGGUGCUAAUACCGGAUAAUGUCUUCGGACCAAAGAUUUAUCGCCUUUGGAUGGGCCCGCGUUGGAUUAGCUAGUUGGUAGGGUAAAAGCCUACCAAGGCGACGAUCCAUAGCUGGUCUGAGAGGAUGAUCAGCCACACUGGGACUGAGACACGGCCCAGACUCCUACGGGAGGCAGCAGUGGGGAAUAUUGGACAAUGGGCGAAAGCCUGAUCCAGCAAUGCCGCGUGAGUGAUGAAGGCCUUAGGGUUGUAAAGCUCUUCUACCCGGGAUGAUAAUGACAGUACCGGGAGAAUAAGCUCCGGCUAACUCCGUG